ensembl:lncRNA
AAAACAUGCUGCUCCUCACUCUCAGCCACGUAUAUCCACACACAGUUAAACCCACGGCUGUACAAAUUAAUGCAGACUACCAAAGCUUCUCAUAAGCCUCUGGCAUGUGCAGAGCCAGUCUGUAGAGCGGUGGGUUUCCUCUUGGACCCCUAGAGUUGGUAGGACAGGGAAGGCGGCAGGGGACCGAGCAGUGGAGCUGCUGACUCCGUGGGGCUGAGUGGCUCUGGCCCUGCACCAGGGAAGGGGUUAAACUCCUCUGCUGUAAGCAGAUAAAGGAAGGAACAGAAUCCGGCUGGCCUGGUCUGCACUCCAUACCGAGAAGAAAAAGGAAUAGGCGAGAGAACAUUACCCCAAAUCAUUUUGGGAUUGCUGACUAUGGAGAAGUGCAAAUACAGAAUCAGACUGCUUUCCUGCAAAACGCUUCUUUUUUCACGGCUUGUUUCCAUGCCAGCACGGCGAAUGGUGAAGGGAAGGGCUGAUGAACGUGCAGAAGGGGCUUUCAGAGAUUCCCGAGGACUACUGAAUUGGUGCUGCCCGUUCAAAUGCUCCAAAUCGCUGUUAUAUCAGCCUGGGUUGUGCACAUACACUGUCACAGGGCCCAGGCGCUGCGGAUCAAUGUGUGGAAGCACAGCAACAUUUGUGCAUCCCCGUUGUUUGGGGAUGUAUGAAGGAUGUUGGCUGAACCCCGCGCCUUGCGCUCUGUUCCCUGCUCCCGGGGCACCCCCUGCAGCCCCGGGCCAGUGCUGGGACACGGGACUGUGGCUCAUGGGUUGGGGGUGAUGCUGAGGUGGCAGCCGACGGUCUGAAAACCGCUGGGAGCCCUGCAGGUCCAGGAGCUGGAGCCUUCCUUUUCCUGGGGCGACAGAAAGAGAAGUAUUUAAG